rnacentral:lncRNA from 1 species
GACAAAUUGGUUUCAUUAUAGAGAAUUGAGUUUCGUGAAAUUUUUCUCUUAAACGAAAGGAAGACGUUGUUUUUUUUUUUUUUUGUAUUGACAAAAGCCGUAAAUUGUUGUAAAAUAAAUACUCUUUUUGUGGAUAAUCCAUCAAAUUGAAAAAAGAAGUGAAAAAAUUUCUUUAUCGACGGAGGAAAGGGACUUCAAGUGGGAGAUUGAGGAGUUGAAGGCUAAGGUGAAGUUUCUGAAACUUUUAUUUUUCCACUUCUGUCUUCCUUCAAAUUUGUUCAUUAUUGAGUUUUAUAAAUAUAAUCUUUAACCUUUUGUUGCUAAAUCUGUUUGUUGAGUUUGUUUUUAUUUUUGAAAAUUAGUAUUUACUUCACAUUUCUUUUAACUUUUGAUAAACUGUAAUGGUUAUUCAUAGAUCAGUUAUAUUUGUUUAAUGAUUUUGAAAAGCAGGGAAGUGACGAAUUUUUGCUAAAUUUGUGAGUGUUGUUUUAUGGGAUUGAAGAUUUUUUAAAAUUAUUCUUCAAGAUUUAUUAUUUUCUUUUUGUAGUGCAUUAAUAAAUAAUUUUUUGUAAUAAUGAUUUGAUGGAAUUAUAAAAUAGCUUAGAAUGAACGAAAGGAAAAGAAAUAACAUAUAAUCAAGAAUGAUAUGCUUAACUAUUUUUUUAGACAUUUAGAAAUUUACAACGAGAGAUUGAAUAACAUUAUCAAAUGUUUUUACUUUUCUGUAUCGACAUAUUAUCUAUUAUAGAAGUGAAUGGGUAAAAAUUAGAAAAAGUAGGGAAAGAAGAAAGCAUUAAAUGCAGUUUGUCUAAAUGAAAAUAUUGGAUUGGGAAAUGAGUAUUGUGUAUCUAUACUAUUGUGGAUUAAUGAAGAAAUUUGUACUUAUGAUUUUUGAUAUAAUAUAGGAAUAAUGACAGUUUUGAAAAGUUAUUAUAUUUAAACUAUAUGUUUUUGCAAGGUGAACUAUCUGAAAUUUCUAAUUUUUUAUUUGUUUAAUUUUUUCUGUCUUUCGUUUUAACUAUAAUGGUAACUAAACUAUUUAAUUGUCUAGCAUAAGUUCAAGCAUCUAAAAAAAUUAAAAUUUAGUGUAUUUUUAAUUUAUUUUUUUUUGCUUGUUUAUUUGUAUAGUUAAAUACUUUUUUUUACCAUUAAUUAUUGUUUAUUGUUCUCUUUGUCGUUACUUAAAGCAUAUUUAUGUUUCUCAUUAAUAUUUAAAUUUUGUAUUAUUGAUGUUUAUAUAAUUUUUACAUUGUUAAAAAGUUGAAUGAAUUUAAUAUAUCUUUAACAGUUUGUUAUAACUAAUUUUUGAUGGUUUUUGUGUAUGAAUGGUUUAACACAUUUGCUAAUAAUGUUUAUGUAUUAUUUUAGAUUGUAUUGCUUAGAUUGGAGUUGAAAUAUUUAGUAGUUCUUUCUGCUAUCGUGAUGGAUAUUUUGGAAACAUCUAUUCAUGAAGAUCAUGUUAUUGUUAACUUCAAUGCUGCGUCUCAAAGUGGGAAUGAGUUGCACAGAGCCUUCAGUCGCCAACAAUGAGUUCAAAGAGAGAGAGAAAUGCGAAUAAGAUUUAGAAAUAAUUGUAGUGAUUAUCAUAAAAGAAGAAAUGAUCCUAUAUUACCGAAAAAUAAUUAUUUUGUUGUUACUCGGCUAUAUGAAUCCAUAAUGCAUCAAAAUUCUAACGCUUCAACUUCAAAUCAAAAAUCACAUAAUAUUUUUUAUUCUGAACUUGAAAUAUCUUUAAAAUGAUUGAACAUACCAUCUACUGCACAUAUGUUGCCAACAUCCAGUUAUUGUAAACAUUGUAAUUACCGUAAUUUUUAUUGAGAAAUUAAAGGGUUUUAUUGUUCAGAUGGAAAAGUUAAACUUUUUAUAUGUGACUCACCAGUUCAACUGUAUAAUUUAUUUAUUCUAAAGAACUACAUUUUAUGAAAUUCAAAAAAAUUGUAGGGGGAUAUAAUAAUCAUUUUACUUUCAUUUCAUUUGGUGUAAAAUACGAUAAAGAACUUUCUAAAAUGUAUAAAGGUAUUUACACAUUCAAAGUUCAGGGACAAGUGCAUCAUUAUAUAAAUGAACUUAUGCCCAAAAAUAUUAAGCCUUCUUAUAUUCAGUUAUAUUUUUACGAUACAGAAAAUGAAGUUGAAAAUCAUAUGAAAGUUUUAUCAAACUUUGUUGAAUCUACUUUAGUUGAUUUAAUCGAAAUUUUAAAAACAAAUUUCAUACAGUAAAUUCUUUAGAUCUUUAAGUAAUAUGACUAACUUGCAUAAUCAUCAAAUACAAAUACGAUGUGAUCUAGGACUUGAUCAAAGAGUUUUCAAUACUCCUACAACAUCUCAAGUAGCUGCUAUAUGGGUAGAAGAUGAUGCAAAUGCUAAUGUUCGUGCUUGUGAUAUCACUAUAUAUGGUCAUUAUGAUGAUUCACACAAAGUUCAUUACUAUUAUGGGUGUUAUGAUCCAUUGCAGUAUCCGUUACUUUUUUCAUAUGGGGAAUCUGGUUGGCAUGAAGGCAUUGAGAGAUGUAGAAAUAUGAAUUUUCAGCCUGAUCGUAUGUCAACGUUGGAUGUUUUUUCUAACACAACUACUUCUGUGGCUGAA